GGAGAGGUCGCAUAGUGGUCUAGUGCGCCUGUCUUGAAAACAGGUAGGGCCUCACGGUCCUCGUGGGUUCGACUCCCACCCUCUCCG
rnacentral:tRNA from 1 species